AGGUAGCAUAAUAAUUUGUCUUUUAAUUGGGGACUGGAAUAAACGAGCUGACGAAGAGAAAACUGUCUCUUUUAGGAAACUUAAAUUUACCUUUAAGGUUAAAAGGCCUUUCAAUUCCAAAGGGACGACAAGACCCUAAAAACUUCAUCCCCUUUUUGGUAAAUAAGAAAUACAAUUGCAGGGAUUUUACUGGGGCGGUAAAUUGCAACAAAAUUUAAUCCAACACCCUGGGUGAAGCAAAAGUACAUGAAUACAUACAAAGAACUAGUUACUUUAGGGAUAACAGCGCAAUUUUUCCAGAGAGUUCUAAUCGGCGGAAAAGAUUACGACCUCGAUGUUGAAUUGAAAUUCCUCCUGUCGACAGAAGCAC
rnacentral:rRNA from 1 species